GGUGAUUCUGGAUUUUAUUCAUACGCAAUAUUUACUCGUCCACAAGGAUUACCUGCAGUCACGGUUUAUCAAAUUAGAAUAGUUUACAAACUCGACGAAGACAGGUUCCACUAUAUGGCCAUAUCUGAUACAAGGCAAAGAAGGAUGCCAACUCCAGAAGACAGAAGAACGGGCAAGGUGCUGGCGUAUCCUGAAGCUGUUCUCUUAACCAAUGCAACUGACCCACAAAUUCGAGGAGAGGUUGAUGAUAAAUAUCAAUACUCGACAGAGAACAAAGAUAACUCUGUUCAUGGGUGGAUUGCAGAGGAUGAUUCAUCACCAGUGGGUUUCUGGGUGAUAACUCCCAGUAAUGAGUUCCGCAA
rnacentral:sRNA from 1 species